CCAAUAGCGUAUAUUAAAGUUGUUGCAGUUAAAAAGCUCGUAGUUGAAUUUCGGGGUCAGUAGGUUGGUCAUGCCACCGGUAUGUACUGGUCUCACUGAUUCCUCCUUCCUGUUGAACCGUAAUGCCAUUAAUUUGGUGUUGCGGGGAGACUGGACUGUUACUUUGAAAAAAUUAGAGUGUUUAAAGCAAGCUAACGCUUGAAUACAUUAGCAUGGAAUAAUGAAAUAGGACGUUCGAUCCUAUUUUGUUGGUUUCUAGGAUUGACGUAAUGAUUAAUAGGGAUAGUUGGGGGCAUUAGUAUUCAAUUGUCAGAGGUGAAAUUCUUGGAUUUAUUGAAGACUAACUACUGCGAAAGCAUUUGCCAAGGAUGUUUUCAUUAAUCAAGAACGAAAGUUAGGGGAUCGAAGACGAUCAGAUACCGUCGUAGUCUUAACCAUAAACUAUGCCGACUAGGGAUCGGAUGAUGUUAAUUUUAUAAUGACUCAUUCGGCGCCUUACA
rnacentral:rRNA from 1 species